rnacentral:rRNA from 1 species
GUGGGGAAUCUUGCGCAAUGCGCGAAAGCGUGACGCAGCAACGCCGCGUGGGGGAAGAAGGCCUUCGGGUUGUAAACCCCUUUCAGUUGGGACGAAGCUCUGUCGGUGAAUAGCCGAUUGGAGUGACGGUACCUUCAGAAGAAGCCCCGGCUAACUACGUGCCAGCAGCCGCGGUAAUACGUAGGGGGCAAGCGUUGUCCGGAAUCAUUGGGCGUAAAGAGCGUGUAGGUGGCUCGGUAAGGCCGCUGUGAAAGUCCAGGGCUCAACCCUGGAAAGCCGGUGGAAACUGUCGAGCUAGAGUCCGGAAGAGGCGAGUGGAAUUCCUGGUGUAGCGGUGAAAUGCGCAGAUAUCAGGAGGAACACCAAUGGCGAAGGCAGCUCGCUGGGACGGUACUGACACUGAGACGCGAAAGCGUGGGGAGCAAACAGG